AUAGAGAAAGUGUGUGACAUGUGAAAAGUGUUUUUAUGUGUAAUUGAAAACUGAGAAUGUGUCAUAGAGUAUAGAGAAAGUAGCUUUGGUUUGUUUAGUUAGAAAUAAUUAUAAAUGUUUUAUUUAAAAAAAAAUGCUCACAAGAGUAAUCUAUUUUAAACAACCUUGUAAAUUGUGCCCACCUUUAGGUAAUAACGUGUUUGAUUCAUUUUAUGAA
rnacentral:lncRNA from 1 species